CGGCGGGGGGAAUCACGAGGCCGCUGCUCGCGGGGGCAGCUGGUCCGCGGAGCGGUGGGGCUCCUUUGCAGGUGUCUGACCGCCUCUGGAGCUUUAUAGGGCGGUCAUAAAUCCAGCUCACGGGUUUUCGAUCAGAAGGGCGGGGGGGGGGGGGGCAAAGUCCUAUGAGUAAUCCAGAACGUACUCAGCACGCUCUGUUUUCUAUUUUAUUUUAAUUUUUGAGAUGGGCAAUGUUGGGUGAGAGCAGGGGAACGAUAAUUCCUACGGAGGGUUCUGACUCACUGGGCGCUUCUUCUCCUCUUUGCCCCCCUCCUUCCCGUUUCCUGGAGAAGACUAGCAUAGUCUUUGCUGAUGCUGGUCGGCUGGAGCUAAGACAUCAGCGGUGAUUAAGAAGAGACCAGCAUCACCUUAGUCCCUUUCCUGUGACUGCCCCAGGAUCCACGACCCUCCACAGGGUUUUCUAUGAGUGAUGCUCUGUAUUGAGCCAGGGUUACCGGAAAGGCAAAACAGAGACCGAGAGGAGGGGGGCCACCCAGAUCAUGGAGUUUCCUCACCCCAGUUUCUUCUCCCAGUUAGAGGCAUCCCCAAAGCCACCUCGUUGGAACACAGCUACCUGGCACCACCGGAGGAAAGGGGCCUCAUCUCUCUCUCUCUCUCUAAGCCCUCUCCUUUGAGGAAGGGGACCGGGAGCUUCGUGAUUGAUCACGUCUGAAGGCGUUUAAAGAUUCUCUCAGCGAUGUGUAAGCGCCCUGCUGAGUUGGGUGAAGUCCCCCCUGACAGAAAAAGGCGGUAACUGGAAAAUUUCCACCAGAGGGCGCCAAACACCCAGAGACCCUGCGCUGGCUGCGGGUUUUUCCUGGUGCGCCCCAGACAACACCUGGAGACGCCCGCCGAGCUCUGUAACUCGAUGGCCUUUUCAAGCCUUCCCGCAGCUGUCUCCUGGCUCCCCCUUGCUCUCCCUCCGUUCCUUACUCUUUGGGGGUAAAACAAACCUGACCUUUGGGUGUGUCUGGGUGACGGGGGGGGGGUAGUACUCCGUGAUCGCGUUUACUCGUUUUCAUAGUGAUUUCCCUCACAUUGCUGUCGAACAGACAGGGGCUCCCGAUGGUUUACUCCAGGCCUGUCCCUUUUCUGUGACUGUCCUAUCAGUUUUCACCACCAAGCAACGGAAACAUCAAAAAUUGUACGAAUCACCAAGAUUUCCGUGAGGGUGCUCUCAGAGUCAGCACUGGGAGAUACCGCGUGUUCAACAAAAGAGACUGAAAUAAUAGCGUUGCUCCCGCUGCCAAAGAAAAUACUGCUGUUUCCUCUCUGCCUCACAGGAAAAGAAAAGUCCCCGCACUUUUUAAAGAUGAAAAGCACCCGAAGGGUGGAUUGAAUCGUAACUGAUGUCCCACCAAGCCACAGCUCCCGGAUAGGGUGCAGUGACACCAAUCAGGACGCUGGGUGCCACUGCUUAAUCACUCGAGAUCCACUGGCCGGAAGAGAGGAAGCAGCAAACCCUCCUGAGCCUAGCCGGCUACAAUUCUGCUGAGGUGCGGGCCUUCCUCCGUCCCCCCAGUCUUCCCCCAAGACUCCCUGUAACAACAGAGCGAGCCUUCGCCUCACCUGUGGCACUAGAUGGGGUAAUUUUCAGCCAUGUCUGUCUUUGACCACAGAAUGCAAAGACCUCACUUCCAGCGCUUUAGCAAAAACAACCAUGUUGGAAAGAAACGAGUAUAUAUAUAUUUUUUUACAGCAGUAGACACCGCACAUUAAACCAGGCCGGGUCUGUCUUUGAGGUGCACCGCUUCCUCUACUCUUUGUGACGGGGAGGAAAAGAAUGAAGGCCCCUGCUUGUCUUUAGUGUAAAAGCAUGUGAAUAGCAGCGAUCCAUUGAAUGGGUGCUAGCGACCUUCUGAUUUGUGUUAUCUUUGCACUCGUGAGGAUGGUAUCCCGGUGAGCCAGGGAGAAAGGUAGACUGAUGGGCUCACGACUGAGUAAAUCUCCGAUUUUCUCCUGCUGCAACUCAAGAUUCUUGAAAACGGAGGGCCUGGAGAUCCACGCAGUUCUGGAGCAUCGAGUUUUGAGGCCCGGGACACACUUCAGCACCGAGGACAGCGCCCGCCGUUAGGGCCUAGCCAGGGUUUUCCCUGCCAGUGCUCGGCCAGCCCCCUGCCUCUGCCCCAGGCUGGGCCCCACCUUUAUCCCUCUCUGUCGUUUGUUUUGCCUGGCGGGGGAUUGUGCAGUGGUGAAUGUCUCCCACUCCUUUCUUCUCCUCCUAGAAUUGGACGGAUGACAGCUGCCCUUGUAGUUUGACUAUUUUUUAUUUGUGGUUUUCACUCUUUUUAUCUUACUACUCCCAAGGGGUGAUGUUUACAAGAAUGAGGGUGGAGGGGAAUAAAAGGACUUCCUCUCCAAGGACUUGAA